rnacentral:lncRNA from 1 species
GCGCGGGUCUCCAGAGCCUGAGCUAGUCAGAAGCAACAGUUGCUACUGCGUCCCCCGGACAUUGGGAGAAUCGUUUUCCUUGGGCAGCUGGUUCCAGACCCCCACCAGUCCUCUAGACUCCAGGCCAAUCAGUUGCUAAGGGACGUUCCUCUCUCAACCUGCACUUAUCAACAUUUUAAGCUAUAAAUUCGUCUGCAUUUCUUCAUCGUCUGUCUAUGUAGACCAUGACUCCACGGAGGCAGGCCCAUCCUCUGCCCUGCCAACACCCAGGCCCUGGAGUCUUGGCUUCCAAACACACCUCCAGUGCUGCUUCUCACCUUACUUACCCAGCU